AUUGAAGAACCUUAAGGAUUUUUUAGUUUGCUUCUUUAUCUCAUAUCUAAAUUCUUUAAACUUUUUAAAAGAUUCAGAUUUGUGUCUCACACAUAUACCUUUAUCGUGAAAAAUCAUCGACAAAAGUAAUGAAGUAAAGAUAACCAUCCUGGCUUGCACAUUAAAUGGGCUACACACAUCAGUGUAUACCAGAUCAAGUAUCUCGGUGAUCCUCACCCU
rnacentral:lncRNA from 1 species